UGCCAGCAGCCGCGGUAAUACGUAGGGGGCAAGCGUUAUCCGGAAUCACUGGGCGUAAAGGGUGCGUAGGUGGUUCAACAAGUCAGAAGUGAAAGGCAUUGGCUCAACCAAUGUAAGCUUUUGAAACUGUUGAACUUGAGUGCAGGAGAGGUAAGUGGAAUUCCUAGUGUAGAGGUGAAAUUCGUAGAUAUUAGGAGGAACACCAGUGGCGAAGGCGACUUACUGGACUGUAACUGACACUGAGGCACGAAAGCGUGGGGAGCGAACAGGAUUAGAUA
rnacentral:rRNA from 1 species